GUCGAACGCUGGCGGCGUGCCUAACACAUGCAAGUCGAACGAAGUGGCGAACGGGUGAGUAACGCGUAAUCAACCUGCCCUUCAGAGGGGGACAACAGUUGGAAACGACUGCUAAUACCGCAAACUGAAGGGGGGGAAUGCGUCGGAUUAGCUAGUUGGAGGGGUAAUGGCCCACCAAGGAGAUGAUCAGUAGCCGGUCUGAGAGGAUGAACGGCCACAAUGGGACUGAGAAACGGCCCAGACUCCUACGGGAUGCAGCAGUGGGGAAUCUUCCGCCAUGGACGAAAGUCUGACGGAGCAACGCCGCGUGAGUGAUGACGGCCUUCGGGUUGUAAAGGUCUGUUAAUCGGGACGCGGUACCGGAAUAGAAAGCCACGGCUAACUACGUGCCAGCAGCCGCGGUAAUAC
rnacentral:rRNA from 1 species